rnacentral:rRNA from 1 species
CCACGGGCGGCAGCAGUGGGGAAUAUUGGACAAUGGGCGAAAGCCUGAUCCAGCCAUGCCGCGUGUGUGAAGAAGGCCUUCGGGUUGUAAAGCACUUUCAGUGGGGAAGAAAGCCUUGGGGCUAAUACCCUCGAGGAAGGACAUCACCCACAGAAGAAGCACCGGCUAACUCCGUGCCAGCAGCCGCGGUAAUGCGGAGGGUGCGAGCGUUAAUCGGAAUUACUGGGCGUAAAGCGCGCGUAGGCGGUCUGAUAAGCCGGUUGUGAAAGCCCCGGGCUCAACCUGGGAACGGCAUCCGGAACUGUCAGGCUAGAGUGCAGGAGAGGAAGGUAGAAUUCCCGGUGUAGCGGUGAAAUGCGUAGAGAUCGGGAGGAAUACCAGUGGCGAAGGCGGCCUUCUGGACUGACACUGACGCUGAGGUGCGAAAGCGUGGGUAGCAAACAGGAUUAGAUACCCGAGUAGUC